GACGAACGCUGGCGGCGUGCUUAACACAUGCAAGUCGAACGGAAAGGCCCUGCUUUUGUGGGGUGCUCGAGUGGCGAACGGGUGUGUAACACGUGAGUAACCUGCCCUUGACUUUGGGAUAACUUCAGGAAACUGGGGCUAAUACCGGAUAGGAGCUCCUGCUGCAUGGUGGGGGUUGGAAAGUUUCGGCUGUUGGGGAUGGUCUCGCGGCUUAUCAGCUUGUUGGUGGGGUAGUGGCUUACCAAGGCUUUGACGGGUAGCCGGCCUGGGAGGGUGGCCGGCCACAUUGGGGCUGAGAUACGGCCCAGCCUACUACGGGAGGCAGCAGUGGGGAAUAUUGCACGAUGGGCGGAAGCCUGAUGCAGCGACGCCGCGUGCGGGAUGACGGCCUUCGGGUUGUAAACCGCUUUCGCCUGUGACGAACCGUGAGUGACGGUAAUGGGUAAAGAAGCACCGGCUAACUACGUG
rnacentral:rRNA from 1 species